rnacentral:rRNA from 1 species
AGAGUUUGAUCCUGGCUCAGGAUGAACGCUGGCGGCAGGCUUAAUACAUGCAAGUCGAACGGUAACAUGAGUAGCAAUACUUGAUGACGAGUGGCGGAUGGGUGCGUAACACGUGUGCAACCUACCUUAUACUGGAAUAUAACGUUGAGAAAUUGGCGCUAAUAUUUCAUAAUAUUUUUUAGAGGCAUCUUUAGGAAAUUAAAGCUUUUUGUGGUAUAAGAUGGGCACGCGUUCCAUUAGUUAGUUGGUAGGGUAACGGCUUACCAAGGCUACGAUGGAUAGGGGUUCUGAGAGGAUACACCCCCACACUGGAACUGAGACACGGUCCAGACUCCUACGGGAGGCAGCAGUAAGGAAUAUUGAUCAAUGGAGGCAACUCUGAACCAGCCAUGCCGCGUGCAGGAAGACUGCCCUAUGGGUUGUAAACUGCUUUUAAUAGGGAGUAAUUAUAACUACGUGUAGUUAUUUGCAAGUACCUAUAGAAUAAGCAUCGGCUAACUCCGUGCCAGCAGCCGCGGUAAUACGGAGGAUGCAAGCGUUAUCCGGAUUUAUUGGGUUUAAAGGGUGCGCAGGCGGACUAAUCAGUCAGUGGUGAAAUCUACAUGCUCAACAUGUAACCUGCCAUUGAUACUGUUAGACUAGUAUACAAAUGACGUAGCUGGAAUGUGUUAUGUAGCGGUGAAAUGCAUGGAUAUAACACAGAACACCGAUCGUGAAGACAGGUUACGAAUUUGUUAUAGACGCUCAUGCACGAAAGCGUGGGGAUCAAACAGGAUUAGAUACCCUGGUAGUCCACGCUGUAAACGAUGAUAACUUGUUGUUGGGCAUUUAAUGUUCAGUGGCUAAGCAAAAGCGAUAAAUUAUCCCCCUGGGGAGUACGAUCCCAAGGUUGAAACUCCAAGGAAUUGACGGGGGGCCCGCACAACCGAAGAACAUGUGUUUUAUUUCCAUGAAACCCAGGACCUUACCCGGCCCCAA